rnacentral:rRNA from 1 species
UCCCACUUUGUUCGGGUUCCUCUCUCCCUUUGUGACUAUUAUACCUGUUGCUUCGGCGGCGCCCGCAAGGGUGCCCGCCGGUCUCAUCAGAAUCUCUGUUUUCGAACCCGACGAUACUUCUGAGUGUUCUUAGCGAACUGUCAAAACUUUUAACAACGGAUCUCUUGGCUCCAGCAUCGAUGAAGAACGCAGCGAAACGCGAUAUGUAAUGUGAAUUGCAGAAUUCAGUGAAUCAUCGAAUCUUUGAACGCACAUGGCGCCUUCCAGUAUCCUGGGAGGCAUGCCUGUCCGAGCGUCGUUUCAACCCUCGAGCCCCUGUGGCCCGGCGUUGGGGAUCUGCCACGGCAGGCCCCUAAAACCAGUGGCGGACCCGAAGGGCCCUCUCCUUUGCGCAGUAGCAUUCGCCUCGCAUUGGGAGUCCUCGGCGUCCUGCCUCUAAACCCCCCACAAGUCCGCUUCGGCGGCACCAAGGUUGACCUCGGAUCAGGUAGGAAUACCCGCUGAACUUAAGCAUAUCAGGGAGGAGGAGUACAG